GCAAACUUGGUCAUUUAGAGGAAGUAAAAGUCGUAACAAGGUCUCCGUAGGUGAACCUGCGGAGGGAUCAUUAUUAGAGUGUAAAACUCCCUAACCCUUUGUGAAUCUACCUGUAAUUGUUCCUUCGGUAGGCGGUUCCUGGGAGGAACCUAUGCCUGUGAGGGUGUCUACCGAAGAACACACAGAACUCUGUUACAGUGGUGUUAUUCUGAGUAACUAAAAAAAUAAAAAUAAAAACUUUCAACAACGGAUCUCUUGGUUCUGGCAUCGAUGAAGAACGCAGC
rnacentral:misc_RNA from 1 species